UGGCAGAGUACAAAAGGGGCCAUAUAACAUAUCUCAGUAUUUGGUAACAUUAAAUGGAUUUCACUGAUAUAAUCAAAUUUCUAAACAUGAAGCCGGGAAAUCAUGUCACAUGAGGAAUGGUUGAAACAACCAUGAGUACUGAACCUGAAGAAGCAAGGACUACUGGGUAGACUCUACACCUGUCUUGAAAGAUACAGGGAAGCAAAUUUCAGCUUAACGUAAGGAAGCACUUUCCAAUAA
rnacentral:lncRNA from 1 species